GACGAACGCUGGCGGCGUGCUUAACACAUGCAAGUCGAACGGAAACGCCCUGCUUUGGUGGGGUGCGCGAGUGGCGAACGGGUGAGUAACACGUGAGUAACCUGCCCUGUACUUUGGGAUAACUUCAGGAAACUGGGGCUACUACCUGAUAGCAGCUCCUGCUGCAUGGUGGGGGUUGGAAAGUUUCGGCGGUUGGGGAUGGACGCGCGGCUUAUCAGCUUGUAGGUGGAGGAGUGGCUUACCAAGGCUUUGACGGGUAGUCGGCCUGGGAGGGUGACCGGGCACAUGGGGCCUGCGGUACGGCCCAGAGUCGUACGGGGGGCAGCAGUGGGGAGUAUUGCACAAUGGGCGGAAGCCUGAUGCAGCAACGCCGCGUGCGGGAUGACGGCCUGCGGGUUGUAAACCGCUUUCGCCUGAGACGAAGCGUGAGUGACGGUAAUGGAUAAAGAAGCACCGGCUAACUACGUG
rnacentral:rRNA from 1 species